AAAAAGGGUUUUUGUUGUGAGCGACACCCAUAGGGCGCCUGGCUUGCUCUUCGUGCAGAAUCGACAUCAAGAGCUUUUGGAAGCGUAAUUUCUGGUGCUAGGGCAGCUGCUGAUAAUUGGUCCCAGUGCCAUA
rnacentral:snRNA from 1 species